rnacentral:sRNA from 1 species
UAUUAGUUGCGUUAGGGAUUGAAAUGAAAAUCCUUUUUUGAGGUACGAAGAAAAGAUUGUAAUGUAAAGCCCGACCCUUG